GACAUUACACUUUCUCUCUCUUGGUGGUACCCAUUGAUUUAUGUAUAUAGGAUCAGGAUCCUCUCCUGAGCUUAGGAGGCUGAGCUUCCUGAGUAAAUCAUACGGGCCAUUGAUUUUUGAUCUAACGGCUACAAAUAGAGGGCCAUUCCAAAAGUUAUAAUAAUUGUAACCGUUGGAUCAAAAAUCAACGGCACGAUUGAUUUGCUCAGGAGGCUCAGCCUCUUAAGCUCAGGAGAGGAGAGGAUCUUGAUCCAUGUAUAUAUUCCCUCUUUGGUCUCUUCUCAAUUCUCUAGAAAUAUAUACAAGCCAAGCCAUUUUUCCAACACAAAACCAUUCUCCAUUCUUCUCUAAACUAGCCAAUAAGCCUAAAACCUUCAUUUCCUCAUCAUUUCUUCAACAAUGGAGGACGAAAAUUACGUUGAGAAUAUUCCUCGUUAUCGAGAUCAAUCAGAAGAAGAAGAAGAUGCAGAAGAAGCACUCUCUCUCAGCGACCUUCCACUAGACAAUAUCCACGAACAAGUCAACGAAGUCCACGACAGGUCCUCCAAGCACCUGCACACUCGCCGUUCUUCAGCCGAUCAGUUUUUCGAGUUCUUCAGCGACUUCAGCUCCGACAGCUUCAUGUGUUCAGCCGAAGAUAUCAUCGUCUGCGGGAAACUCAUACCCUUCAAAGAUCACACAAAUGAAGCCCCUAAGACGACAUGUACUAACAAUGGUUAUCACAAAAAAGAUUCAUCUUUUCGAAGGCGGUCAGAGUCGCUGCCUGGGUUACAAAGUUCGGUAGCACGAUCAAGCAGCACAAAGAAUCAGAUCAUGAUGAGGAACAGCAGAUCCUUGGAUUAUCAAAAGCUUCACCGGCAAUCUUCGAUGGUAUCCCCGACCCCGGCAGAGAUGGAGAGGAAUUCUUCCACGAAGAGUGUUGGAAAAUACGAUAAGAAGAGUGGUAACAAGCCAAAGUGGUUUUUUCUCAUGUUUGGGAUUGUGAGGUUUCCGUCUGAGAUGGACCUAAGCGACAUCAAGAACCGGCAGAUUCGACGAAACCCAUCCACCACGCUCUUCCGGAGUGAAGCCUCUGACAAUCGGAGCUCCGAAAAGGGCUCCUGGAGACUGCUCAGGGCAUUGAGCUGCAAGGACCAUGCAAGUGUUGCUGUAACGCCGCCGUACUGUACACAAGUGUGAGAGGCUAUUUCUGAUCACGUGCCAUGCACUGUAAUAUCAUAUCCCUAGUCCCCCUAGCUAACCCAUGAAUAUGAUUAUAUGAUUUUAGGGGCAAAAUGGUCAUUAAAAUUCUGGAUUUGUUUGGACGUGAGGAUAAAUUAAUAUAAUUAUGGUUUAUGACGUUCCGUAGAAGCAAAGGGGUGUACAGUAGAAGAGCCAUGGUCGACGAUGGCGCCCCUCCAUCUGCUUAUUAAUUGAGGAUGAAGAGAAGCAGGUUUUGUUGUUUGGUGGCCACAUAAAAUGAAAUUAAUGAAUACCACGAGAAUCCGAUUACGACAUUAAAUUCUUGUGUUUUUGUUUUUAUUUAUUUUUGUAUUUAUUCAUUGUAAUGUUAAUUCUUUUGUGUUGCUCAUAAUAAAUAUAUCGGUUUGUGAUAGAACCUUAACUUUGCAUCUUGA